CUGUUGAGUGUUCUCUCUUGCAGCAAGAUCUCACAAAGCAAGAGAUGUCAAAGGCAGAACCUGAAUCUGAGAAGCCAAGGAAAAGAGGAAGCCUCUUGGAAAAGAGGCUAAGCUAAGAAGGUAGAAAGGAGAAGAAAAGGGCAGCAGGCUAGACCGCUGGUGAGAGAGAACCUCCGUGGCUUGUCUGGUCUGAACUGUACCAUGAGCUGCACCGGAAGUGCUGUUAACCAGGAAGAUGGUGAGAUCGUCCCUGGAGACAGGGUGCAGGUCGAGAGGUACUUCCUCAGCAAGAGUAAGGCGAAUCUCUCUGAGUCCUGGUCACGUAAAAAUGGGAUGCUUCCUGGCCCUCCCGCUCAGUGGGUGGAGCUGUCACAUGACCAGGCUCCCUUGGAUUCCUCUGCGAGCAGGGCAGAACCAUAGGAGAGAACAGCCGCAGAGGGAUGGGAGCUUGUUGCCUGGCUCCAGGCUCCUCUGCCAGCGCUCCCUGUCCACAGUUGUAGCCGAAUGACUGAAGACCCAGCCUGGUUGUCAGAUCUGGCGUCUUGUCUCACUGCUGUACCUAACUGGUUAAGAUAACUCUCUAAACGUCUGUAAGUUCAGUUUUACUGUGAAUAAAAACGAG
rnacentral:lncRNA from 1 species